rnacentral:rRNA from 1 species
GUGGGGAAUAUUGGACAAUGGGCGAAAGCCUGAUCCAGCCAUGCCGCGUGUGUGAAGAAGGUCUUCGGAUUGUAAAGCACUUUAAGUUGGGAGGAAGGGCAGUAAGUUAAUACCUUGCUGUUUUGACGUUACCAACAGAAUAAGCACCGGCUAACUUCGUGCCAGCAGCCGCGGUAAUACGAAGGGUGCAAGCGUUAAUCGGAAUUACUGGGCGUAAAGCGCGCGUAGGUGGUUCAGCAAGUUGAAGGUGAAAUCCCCGGGCUCAACCUGGGAACUGCCUCCAAAACUGCAUGACUAGAGUACGGUAGAGGGUAGUGGAAUUUCCUGUGUAGCGGUGAAAUGCGUAGAUAUAGGAAGGAACACCAGUGGCGAAGGCGACUACCUGGACUGAUACUGACACUGAGGUGCGAAAGCGUGGGGAGCAAACAGGAUUAGAUACCCCAGUAGUCC